rnacentral:rRNA from 1 species
GAUGAACGCUAGCGGGAGGCCUAACACAUGCAAGCCGAGCGGUAUUGUUUCUUCGGAAAUGAGAGAGCGGCGUACGGGUGCGGAACACGUGUGCAACCUGCCUUUAUCUGGGGGAUAGCCUUUCGAAAGGAAGAUUAAUACUCCAUAAUAUAUUGAACGGCAUCGUUUAAUAUUGAAAGCUCCGGCGGAUAGAGAUGGGCACGCGCAAGAUUAGCUAGUUGGUGAGGUAACGGCUCACCAAGGCGAUGAUCUUUAGGGGGCCUGAGAGGGUGAUCCCCCACACUGGUACUGAGACACGGACCAGACUCCUACGGGAGGCAGCAGUGAGGAAUAUUGGUCAAUGGGUGCAAGCCUGAACCAGCCAUCCCGCGUGAAGGACGACUGCCCUAUGGGUUGUAAACUUCUUUUGUAUAGGGAUAAACCUACCCUCGUGAGGGUAGCUGAAGGUACUAUACGAAUAAGCACCGGCUAACUCCGUGCCAGCAGCCGCCGUAA